CUGGCCCAGACUUGACCAGUGGCAUAUCCAUCUUUGGAAUUGCCAGGGAUUGGCUCUGCUGGACAUGCAGGAAGCUUCCAGCAGCUUCUCACAGAAGCUGCCCUUACCAAAACCUGGCCAUGCAAACCCAAUAUACCACUUUAUUCUCAUUGCCAGAGGAAAAGUGGAGCAUGCACCUUACAUGCAGUCCCAGAGAGUCCUCCAUGCAGCUCCUUCUGCUGAUGGGAAUCUGGCAUAUGUUCCUCCUGCACCUGCUGCUUUGCUUUGCUCAGGGACAUAUUGUUGCUCUCACAUCAUCUGCUUCUGAUCAGCUUUCAACAUCUGCCAAAAACCCAAGGGCACAUGCAAGAUUUUCUGUAGUGGAAUGGAAGCAAAUACAUCUUCUUCCCCAUGAAAACUGUGCCCGUGCACAAGAGUUAUCAAGUACCAUACUCCGUGAUCCUUCUUGGGAGACCUUUGGUAUCAGAUUUGGACUGGUAUCAAGGCCUUGUUAACUGGAGCUUUUUCAUUGAUCCUGAUGGCUUCUGAAUGAGGCCCCGUCAAACACACUGGCAUAAGUUCAAACAGCCUCUGAUGAAUAACAAAGGCAUUCCCAAGAGGCUGCCACCAUUCACUUGCAGUCUUGUCUGACUCAGGAGACCAGCCUAUGGAAAAGAAGAAAGGAUUUCUGAAUUUUCAAGAUAUCAGCUCCAGAAAACCAGUGUCUCAUAAAUGGGAACAUCUCUGUGAAUUUCCACAAGCAUAUUCUCACUUGCUCCCCCUUUUACUUAUAUAAACACAUGCAGAGACUGGCACAAGGGGCAGUUUUACAAGAGCUAAGAUGUUACAACACCCAUCACAGAGAGCCAUGUCUUGGUAC